rnacentral:pre_miRNA from 1 species
AAGGGCCUGAUCCAAAGCCCAUUGAAGUCAGUGGACUCUUCCCCGUUGACUAUAAUGGGCUUUGGAUCAGGCCCUAAUCUU